rnacentral:rRNA from 1 species
ACGCUGGCGGCAGGCCUAACACAUGCAAGUCGAGCGGAUGACAGGAGCUUGCUCCUGAAUUCAGCGGCGGACGGGUGAGUAAUGCCUAGGAAUCUGCCUGGUAGUGGGGGACAACGUUUCGAAAGGAACGCUAAUACCGCAUACGUCCUACGGGAGAAAGCAGGGGACCUUCGGGCCUUGCGCUAUCAGAUGAGCCUAGGUCGGAUUAGCUAGUUGGUGAGGUAAUGGCUCACCAAGGCGACGAUCCGUAACUGGUCUGAGAGGAUGAUCAGUCACACUGGAACUGAGACACGGUCCAGACUCCUACGGGAGGCGGCAGUGGGGAAUAUUGGACAAUGGGCGAAAGCCUGAUCCAGCCAUGCCGCGUGUGUGAAGAAGGUCUUCGGAUUGUAAAGCACUUUAAGUUGGGAGGAAGGGCAGUAAAUUAAUACUUUGCUGUUUUGACGUUACCGACAGAAUAAGCACCGGCUAACUCUGUGCCAGCAGCCGCGGUAAUACAGAGGGUGCAAGCGUUAAUCGGAAUUACUGGGCGUAAAGCGCGCGUAGGUGGUUCGUUAAGUUGAAUGUGAAAUCCCCGGGCUCAACCUGGGAACUGCAUCCAAAACUGGCGAGCUAGAGUAUGGUAGAGGGUGGUGGAAUUUCCUGUGUAGCGGUGAAAUGCGUAGAUAUAGGAAGGAACACCAGUGGCGAAGGCGACCACCUGGACUGAUACUGACACUGAGGUGCGAAAGCGUGGGGAGCAAAC